AUGGCAUUGCUUCGUGAUCUUUGGAUGCCCAAAAGUCAGUGCUAUAUCAUAGGACCGGUUUGGCCAACUAUUGAGGUAGAGAACUUCGAGCUGAAACCUAGUCUUAUUGCUUUGGUUCAACAAUGUCAGUUUGGAGGACGACCUACUGAGGAUCCCUAUGAGCACUUACACCGAGUCAUGGAGUAUUCAGAUACAGUCAAGUACCACAAAGUUUCUCAAGACGCAAUCAUGUGUAGGUUGUUUACAUUCUCUCUCUGUGAUGGUGCUUGUGCUUGGUACCGAUCCUUGCCAUCAAGGUCAUACAGUUGGAUUGAGAUAUCACAAGCAUUCUUGGAUAAAUAUUUCCCACUACACAAGCAGUCCGCGAUUCGAGAUGAUAUCUUCAACUUUGUUCAGCGUGAAGGCGAGAGUUUGUAUGAUGCCUGGGAGAGGUACAAAGCCUUGUUCAGGAGAUGUCCUAAUCUUGGGCUCGAGAUAUGGUUAGAGCUGCAGAUAUUCUAUAGAGGAUUGACUUCGGACACUCGCGGUUACAUUGAUAUGGCAGCGGGUGGAGCUAUUACAAACAAGACACUUGAUGAUGCUUUUCUGCUGAUUGAGAGCAUAGCUUUCCACCAACUUUAG
rnacentral:rRNA from 1 species